rnacentral:rRNA from 1 species
GCGGCAAGCAUGGGCGCAGCCUGAUCCAGCCAUACCGCGUGGGUGAAGAAGGCCUUCGGGUUGUAAAGCCCUUUUGUUGGGAAAGAAAUCCAGCCGGCUAAUACCUGGUUGGGAUGACGGUACCCAAAGAAUAAGCACCGGCUAACUUCGUGCCAGCAGCCGCGGUAAUACGAAGGGUGCAAGCGUUACUCGGAAUUACUGGGCGUAAAGCGUGCGUAGGUGGUUGUUUAAGUCUGUUGUGAAAGCCCUGGGCUCAACCUGGGAACUGCAGUGGAAACUGGACAACUAGAGUGUGGUAGAGGGUAGCGGAAUUCCCGGUGUAGCAGUGAAAUGCGUAGAGAUCGGGAGGAACAUCCAUGGCGAAGGCAGCUACCUGGACCAACACUGACACUGAGGCACGAAAGCGUGGGGAGCAAACAGGAUUAGAAACCCUAGUAGUCCA